UUUCGAAGAAGACAGAAAAAUCUUUGAUGAUUAUGAGAUACACUAAGUAAUUUGAAACAAAUAUGAUUUUACAACAAUGGAAUAGUGGGUUUACUGCAUUAACUUGUAAACUAAACUUACAUUGAAGAUGCUAAACAACUGAAAUGAAAUUACCAACAACAACAUAGAAGAAGUAGAAAGGGGUGAGAAGAGAGAAUACAAAUGGAGAUGAGAACAGAGAAACUGCAAUCACAACUGCCUCCUCCACUUAGAUCUAUCCCUAGGUAUUUAUAAUUAAUUCACACGAUAAAAUUAGUUAACUUCUUUGAGGGUUGUUUCACACGUGCACUUCGCCUCAACACAGGUUGAAUGUCCACGAGGUUUCCUUCUGAAGUGUCAUCUUUGUCAGCGUCCAUGUCAGCAGUGUUAUUUAUAACAAUACUCCCUUCCUGUAGAAGAACCUUGUCCGCAAGGUUCUGUGCUGAUGCAAUUUCUGGUUGUUCAAAGUCUGUGAGCUGCAAUGGUGUAAUCUGCUGGUCUGGUUCGCCUAAGCAGUGCCUGAGUAUAGAUACAUGGAAAACGGGAUGAAUGUGGGCUGCUUCAGGAAGUUCCAACUUGUAUUCUACUUCUCCAACGCGUUUGAGAACACGAAAUGGACCAAAAUAGCAUCUGCCCAAUUUUGGAUGUUGUUGAUGGCGCACAGUAUUUUGACGAUACGGUUUGAGUUUGACAAAGACCCAGUUGCCCUGUUUGAAGGAGAUCCCAACUCAUUUUCUGUCAGCAACCUCUUUCAUGCGAUUUUGGGCUUUGAUCAAAUUCUGCUUAAGCAAGGAAAUAAUUUCAUCCCGAUCAACCAGAUAAGCCUCUACCAAGUCAUUUGAACUGCUCCCCAUAAUAUAGCACGCUACAUUUGGUGGAUCUCUACCAUAAAGCUCCUUGAAAGGGGUCAUCCCUGCUGAUGUGUGAUAGGAAGUAUUGUACCAAUACUCAGCCCAUGGUAGCAUUGCUACCCAUUUAUGAGGUGCGUCAGCCACAAAACACCGUAAAUGCUGUUUAACACACUUAUUUAGAGCCUCAUAUUAUCCGUCUGUUUGGGGAUGACAAGCGGUACUCAUAUCCAAGGUGGUACCCUGCAAUCUGUUAAUUUCCUGCCAAAACGAGUGCAAGAACCUUGGGUCUCUAUCCGUGAUGAUACUCCUCGGAGGUCCAUGUAAUCGAAUGAUUUCCCCCACAAAAUUCUCAGCUACUGUCCGUGUAGAAAAAGUAGAAGUUAAAGGAAUAAAAUGGCCAUACUUCGUCAAUCUAUCCACUACAGUCAUUAUUGUGGACUUCCCUCUAGAACUAGGUAAACAGGUGAUGAAAUCCAUGGCUAUGUCUUCGAAAGCCAUUUCUGGUAUUGGUAAGGGUUGCAGAAGACCUGUUGGAUGAUGGUGAACAUCUUUCAUUUGUUGGCAAGUUUGACAAGUUGCCACAAAGCUUUGAAUAUCCUUGCGCAUUUGCUUCCAAAAGAAAUUUGAUGCCAAACGAUGGUAAGUGCGAGCGACUCCGACAUGUCCACCUACUGCUGUGGAAUGAAACUUAGUCAUUAAAUCAUUGCGAAGUUGAGAAUCAGAAGGAAUAACUAGGCGUCCUCUGAAAAAGAGCAACCCAUCACGGAACACAUGACCCACAUGUAGUUCCGGAUGGCUCUCUAGUCCUUUUUGGAGCUCAAGCAACUCUGGAUGAGACUUGUUAAGGGAUCUCAAUGUUUGUUCAACCUCGUAGCUCUGAGUAGUGAUUGUAAGUAAGGUAGCAUCAGUGUUGCGAGAUAAAGCAUAAGCUGCUUGAUUCUGUUUACCUGGACGAUAAACAAUUUUGAAAUCAUAUCCCAUCAAUUUACUGAGCCAUUUUUGUUGUUCAGGGGUUUGGAUAGUUUGAUUAGUCAAGCUUUUUAAGGAUUGUUGAUCAGUGUAUAUUGUGAAUUUGCGCCCCAACAGAUAUUGACGCCAUUUGCCCACAGAUUGAGUUAUAGCGAACAUCUCUCGAUGAUAAGUGGAAGCCCGUUGCAUUCGAGGACUUAAUUUCUGGUUGAAAUAGGCUACUGGGUGUCCCUUUUGUGAGAGAACAGCUCUUAUACCCUGUCUUGAUACGUCUGUCUCAAGUUGAAACUCUUGGGAGAAGUCUGAAAGUGCUAAAACAGGAGUUGAGCUUAACUUUACCUUCAAGGUCUCGAAAGCUUCUUGUGCAGACUCGCUCCAUACAAAGGAAUAUUUCCGCAACAAAUCCGUAAGAGGUCCUGCAAUAGUUGCAUAAUGAUGUAUGAAUCAUCUGUAAUAUCCAGUAAGACCAAGAAAACUAUGCACAUCCUUGACAUUUUUGGGUACCGGCCACUGCUGGACAGCAACUAUUUUACAAGGAUCCACGCUAAGACCUUGAUUUGAAAGCACAUGUCCCAAAUAUUCCAUGGAGGUUUGGCCAAAGAGACAUUUAGCUCGCUUUGCAACGAGCUGAUGUUGUCUAAGAAUUAACAACACAACUUGCAAAUGAUCCAUAUGGUCUGUCCAAGUGGCACUAUAAACCAGAAUAUCAUCAAAGAAUACCAAUACGAAGCGACGCAAAUAUGGUCUAAACAUCUCAUUCAUAGUCGCUUGAAAAGUAGAGGAAGCAUUUGAUAAUCCAAAUGGCAUUACUAGAAACUCGUAAUAUCCAUCAUGUGUUCUAAAUGUUGUCUUUACCACAUCCUCAGGUCGAACUCUAAUUUGAUGGUACCCCGAGAGCAGGUCGAGUUUAGAAAAAUAAACUGUACCGUGUAGCUCAUCAAAAAGUUCAUCUAUGGUUGAUAUAGGAAAUAUAUCCCUCACAGUUACUGCAUUGAGUGCUCUAUAGUCCACGCAAAAUCUCCAAGUUUCGUCUUUUUUACGAACAAGUAGGACCGGGGAGGAAAAGGGGCUAGUGCUUGCCCUGAUGACUCCCUCUUUGAGCAUAUCGACAACCAAUUGUUCCAUGACUUGUUUCUGGAAAUAGGGAUACUUAUAAGGUUUGACAUUUGCCGGCUCAGUCCCCGGUAAUAGAUGUAUAGCGUGGUCCUGAGGUUGGACAGGUGGUAGUCCUUGUGGCUUUUGAAAAACAUCAACAAAUGAGUCAAGGAUAGCUACUAAAUCAGGCGGUAUCUCAUCAGUGGGUGAAGAUUCUGAAGGAACUACUUGCAAGCAAAAAUAAGACAAAAUAGCAUCUGUGGCUGCAUACCGUCUUAUACUGUGUAAUUGCACUGGUUGAGCAUCAGCCGGUGCCUUUCCUUUCCAACUGAUAGUUGUUCCUUGAUGAGAAAAUUCAAAGAGGUGAGUGGCAUAGUCAGUGACCACUGGACCUAGUGUGGAUAGCCAAGAGACCCCAAGGACCACAUCUGAUCCAUGAAGAGAAAGCACAUAUAAGUCAAGAAAAAUGUCACAUCCCUGAAUAGAUAAUGGAACCUUGCGUGAAACGCCUUCACACCACAGAUGCUGGCCACUGCCCACGACCACUGAAAAACGGGGAAUUGGCUCUAUCUUUAAUUGCAAAAAUUUAGCUACCCUUGUCUUAACAAAAUUAUCAGUGCUACCUCCAUCUAUCAACACUUGAACUGGAGAUCCGUUCACAUGUCCCGUGAAGCAGAGAGUUGUGGGUGAAUUCUCACCAGCAAGAGCAUGAUACGAUAUGGCUGAAUGUUCCUGGACUUCUAAUCAUGGCAAUUCCUCUGCUAUUAUAUCAUCAGAGACGAAUGAUUCUGGUAAAGAAGAAUCAAUUUCAGAUCCAUUAGUAAGUAGCAAUAGCUGGGGUAAGUUUUUGCAUUUAUGAGUAGAAGAAUAUUUCUCAUCACAAUAGUAACAAAGCCCGCGUUCUCGGCGAUUUUGAAUUUCAGCAUGAGUGAGUCUUUUAAGAGGUGGUCUGCCAGAGUUUGGGCGAGAGAGAGUUAUUGGUAUAAGAGAAUUGGAAGAAUUUGAGGGAAGGUUUGUAGCUAGGUUGGGCGUAGGAAGUAAAGGUUGUGUCUUAGCAAAAGCAGGUUUAAUAGGUCCUUUUUCUAACUGAAUCCGUUUCUCAUGCACGUGAGCCAUAUGUAAGGCCUCAUCCAUGGUUGUUGGUUCAUGAAUUAGCACUGAUGUUUUAAUAUCCUCUUUUAGUCCAGAACAAAAUAAACGAACCAUUAGAGAUUCCUUUAUAUCAUUUGUUUCAUUAGCUAUAGCCUCAAACCUGCUUUGGUAUUCCGACACAGUGGUCAAUUGUCGAAUCUUUGCUAGUCGCCCUUCCGCUGAUUUGAGAUGUCGUUUUUGGAAACGAAUCAGCAAUUUUGAAGUAAAAUGUUCCCAAUCUAUUAGUUGUUUGUUCCGAAAAAGCCAUCGGUACCACUCCAAUGCUUCACUGUCAAGGUAAAAUGAGGCUUGGGGUAAUUUGUGAUUUUCCGUAAUGCAAUAGAAUUCAAAAUAGCAUUCUGCUUGAAAAAUCCACGCCUCAGGAUUCUCUCCACGGAACCGCCCCAAUUCCACUGGCGCAGGUUUGUGACGGAGUGUUGGUGCCCCGGGCCCGAGUCUCCAAUUGCAUCAGUGUCAUGGCGAUGCCGCCUCACGUCCAUUGUUGGAAUUUUGGUUUGGGGUUCCAACGUAGCUAAUUUUCCAGCCACUUCCUGUAACAUUGUUCGGAUUUUAGAAAUAUCCUUCGAACAUGAAUCCUUCACACCAUUAAUGGAAUCCUCGAGAGUUCUGAAUUUUUGGUCGUCCAUUGAAGACCUCUCAAUGAAAGCACCAAUGAAACAAAUAGGAUUGUAUAACAAUGGAAUAGUGGGUUUACUGCAUUAACUUGUAAACUAAACUUACAUUGAAGAUGCUAAACAACUGGAAUGAAAUUACCAACCACAAUAUAGAAGAAGUAGAAAGGGGUGAGAAGAGAGAAUACAAAUGGAGAUGAGAACAGAGAAACUGCAAUCACAAAUGCCUCAUCCACUUAGAUCUAUCCCUAGGUAUUUAUAAUUAAUUCACACGAUAAAAUCAGUUAACUUUUUUUAGGGUUGUUUCACACGUGCACUUCGCCUCAACACAGGUUGAAUGUCCACGAGGUUUCCUUCUGAAGUGUCAUCUUUGUCAGCGCCCAUGUCAGCAGUGUUAUUUAUAACAUAAUUGCAACAAUUAAUUCAACGUAAUUUCACAUCAAUUAAUAAACACAUGCGGUUUCUUUACCUUUAUUUAUUCGCAUUACGUGUACAUAUCAAUUCAAGCAAUGAAUUUCAGCAAUAUAACUAUCAUUAUGUGAUAAAUAUGUG
rnacentral:lncRNA from 1 species